UACGAAGGGGGGCUAGCGUUGUUCGGAUUUACUGGGCGUAAAGCGCACGUAGGCGGAUCGUUAAGUCGGGGGUGAAAUCCUGGAGCUCAACUCCAGAACUGCCUUCGAUACUGGGUGUCUUGAGUAUGGAAGAGGUGAGUGGAAUUCCGAGUGUAGAGGUGAAAUUCGUAGAUAUUCGGAGGAACACCAGUGGCGAAGGCGGCUCACUGGUCCAUUACUGACGCUGAGGUGCGAAAGCGUGGGGAGCAAACAGG
rnacentral:rRNA from 1 species